CUAUCUUUACAAGCUCUGUAGGUAAUUUGAGAAAUUUCCUUUCAAACAAUAUAAUAAACUAAAAUUUACCAACUUGUAAUAAGGAAAACGAUUACCCCGCUAAAAAAAUCAUAAUAAAAACUAUUAAAAAAGGGUGUGAUUUAUAUAAAGUAUCAACAUUAAACAAUCAAAUUAAGAUUGAGUAGAUUUAUAAACGCUUGAAAAUCUUGAAAAAUAAAUAAUUCAGAUAAUGUAUUACAAGAUGCAUUAUUUUUUAGAUUUAAAAUCAUAUUUUCACAUCUAAGUAUCUCGAGGUCCAGAUGAUCAAUUAGAGUAUUUCCUAACACAAGAACAACCUUUUCCAUAUGGUAUUUGAGAUGUGUCUUACUCUCUAUAAUAUAGGGUAGGUACUUUGCAUAAAAUUUUUCCUUUCAAAAAAGAAAAGGGAAAAUAUUAACAAAAAAAGUAAAAUUAGAUCAACCCAUGCAACAUAGUGGUACGGAGCUCAUUUUCUCAAUCAUUUGGUUGGUGGUUCGAAUCCAUAGUUUUAUCACGAAUAAAUUAAUUGAUUAUUUAUUUAUUUUAAGAAAAGUUGACCAAAAUUACUUAAUUUUUUAUCCAUUUCAUAAUUGAAAAUGGGAGCAUUUAUUCAUAUCAUGGGAACCUCCUAUUUUUAUUGUGUUCCACUUAAAAAGAAGUACAGGGGCCUAUUCAUUGAAAAGCCAGGGCACAUGGAAUGAUGGGUGCCCUACUUUACAAUCUUGUAAUAACUUUUUCUUCACUUUUACCCACUUUUAUGAGCUUAUGUUUUUCUAAUUUGUUUUACCCAUUUAAAUAAUUUCUUUUUCCUUUAUUCCUUGACUUUAUGAUAGUUCAUUUUUGCUUCUGGAUAGAGAAAUGACAAAAAGGAUAAGAUAUUUAAUAUGGAUAACAUAUAUGAAAGGCUUCCAAAAAUUUUUGGCUUUAUUCAUUAUUAACACUUUUAUUACGUAUUUUAAACAAAUAUUUAUAGCUUAAAAGUAGGGAAUGCUGCUCCAGUGUCCGGAAACCCUUGCCAUGGCCUACAAAUCUUGUUGCUGAAUCUCAAAAAAUAGUGUAGAUCUGACAUAUUUGUUUGCAGUUAGAGAUAGAUAGUUUAAAAUACUUGUUACACGAUGGAAAAAUUUUAAUACCUACAUUUUUAUUUUUAUUUUAUGUUCAUGAUUGUACAAGGAUGUGAGUUGAUCAACUCAAUUUCAUUUAUUAUGAGAUAUGAGGUGCGGCUUUAUAAAGCCUAGACCCUAGACUUUCCCUUGAUAUUUUGCAUUAGUAGCAGUGUUUCAAAGCUUAGAUCGGUGGGGUGGAUUGUUCAUUUAUAAAUAG
rnacentral:lncRNA from 1 species